GAAUUUUUAUUCUGGUAUCAUGCAAUGUAUAUCUCACUAGUAAGCCUAAGUAUGACCAGGUCAUGUUCGGGUCAGGUUCGUGUGGUAUUGUUUAGGGCUUGGUCCAGGAAGGUAGACUCAUUGGCGCCAGACACAUCUGGCUUCCAUUAACAACUGCUAAGAUGCACAUGAUGUAGAGAUGAGGAGGCAACUGCGGGGUCAUAGGUCAGCCAACAGCCCUAUCUGCGCGCUCCCGCGUGGAGGGAAGCGCAAGAGUAUAAGGUUUAGGACGAGAGUAGACAAAGGAACUCGACAUCUUGGCUAGGGCGCGAGACACUUCUCUCUGACAUCGGUUGAAUAAAAUCUUUCCCCAAUCAGCCAUGUGUGACUGAAGUUUUCCUUCCCCAAGCCAGCCACUUUUUCACCAUCUUGUUUGGAAGACCAGCUGACCAUCGAAGAGAAUUCACCACAAUUUUGGCGUCACGAACAGUUCUCUUGUCCUUCGGGGAGCCCUCGCCCGCCUGGGUGCGAGCAUCGAGCGUCCGGCCGGCAGGCUGAGUUUGAGGUGAGAAGCUUCCACUCACAGUAUCGCAAUGUGCUCGUGCCUGGUGUGGGGGGGGAUGGAGUGGCUCCUGAGCGGGACAGUUAACGGGCCUGGUGUGCCAGUGGCUGGCAAAAAGGGGGGGGAUUGGUCUCCCCUAGCUGGAUGUCGACGAGAUGUGGAGUUUGAAAGGGGGGUGUAGCCCCAAUAGAAAAAUGAAAAUGUUCAAUAAAAAUAGAAAAAAAAAAAAAAAAAAAAAAAAAAAAAAAAAAAAGAAAGAAGGCAAAUAAAAAUGGGAAAAUUGCAUAAAACUUAAUGGGGAAUGUGCACAACAGUGUGAGUGACAUGUCUGGUGUGAAUGAUGAAUGAGAAAGAAAAUGCUCCGAGAGAGGGCACGUGAAACAGGACAGGAUGUCUGGGACAUCGCUGAUCGGCUGUCACGAGAGAAGAAUAAUAGAAAGUCCCAUAAAACGUGGACUUUGUUUUGGCUACAGAUCCGAUGGAGGAUGGAAAUUUUAGCUGUGUGAUUGAGGCGGAAACACAGGUACGAUUGAACACUGUGUGCGACAAGAGACGGGCACCACCAAGCCACCGGAGGCACAAUUCCCGGGGUCGUGCUGGGACGUUGAGAUCACACUCAAUGUAGUUGAGAUCACACUCAAUGUGGUCGAGAUGUCCGGUGGGGGCAUUUGUCUCUAUAUAUAGGUCGCACGAAAAAGGGAGGCUUGAGGCAGACCGCAAUUGGCAAAGCGGAGGAGUGCGCAGCCUUGGCAUCCGUAACUGUGUGAACGAAUGUGGGAAAUUUACCGGCUGGGUCUGGGACCAGGGUGCCGAGAAGAAUGAUGCGCGCAGACCACGUUAUUUGAGCACUGAUCAGAUUAGGAGUUUGUGCGGGUUGCAAGGUUCCCCCGGCUGACAGCUGGUGCGUUAGCCGCUUAGAGAGACACUCUUCGGGCAACUUACCGGGGUGAACCGGUGCGCUGCGGUUGUACCCAAGUCGUCACGGUCCGAUUCCGAUUGGCGAGGCGCACUGUAAUAGCACACACUCCUGUCAAAGUCUGAUAAAAUUUACGGCUUGCAGCAGACCGCAAUUGGCAGAGCGGAGGAGUGGGCAGCCGAUAGAAAUUGGAAAACGUGGAAAAAAGAGGCCUCAGGGGGGUUAAUUUUGGUAUACCAUGUAAAAAAGUAAUUUGUGUGCACACUGAAGUUAAAAAUCUGCAGUAUAAGGGGAAAUGCAAAGCGCUCUUAGGGGAAACAAAGACAAGAAGUGCAAAGGGCAUGUUUGUACGUGCACCUGCGCACGGUAAGAAGACACAGAAUGACCAAACCGCAUGGAAGCGGUUAGUGAGAAGCUACAUGAGAGAUGGAUUCGAAUCCCUUUGUCUGUGUUCUAUGUUUGUGCGUAAUGUCUGUGAAGUUUCUGUCAGUUGUCGUUCGUCUGAGCUGUGUGCGCGCUUGGUGUAUGUGGUGCGCGUGCGUGCGGAUGCGUGUGAGUGUGUGAGCUCUGCGUGCGCGCGGUGUGUAUUGAGCGGGCGUGCGUGCGCGCGGAUGGGUGUGUGCAUGUGCGGUUGUGUGCGCGCUCGGUGUGUGUGCGUUUAUGUGCACACGCAUGGGAGACGGCAGUGAGAGAAGAAAGGAGGGGGCCCUGGGUGCUCCAAGGCGCGGAAUGGUGCUCUGUCGGCAAAGGUGGGGGCCGGCGAGACGCGCGGGCCUGGCCAGCCCGUGGAGUCAACAUUGGUACGCUGACCCCCCCCCUUGUCCGAGGGCGCUGUGCCGAGGAGCCCGCAAAGGCGAGGCUGGGUCCCCCCGGUAGAGGUCAAUGUCGAUGAGAACUGAGACAUGACGAGGGGAGAUCGAAUGUGGAUGAGCGAAGGGUGCAUGAUUAACAACGAACGUGCAUGAUUGAAACUGAAACUUCACUGGCACUAAUGUUGAACAGUUUGCAAACAGGCAAGAGAGAGACAUGCUUGCAAUACUCACUAAAAUACUAAUGUUUGUGUACCUGUGUGUCUUAAGAAAGGAGUUGGGCCGUGGCAGCAGUGAUUUGUGGCAGGACGCCACACAUUCGGCCCAGGACCGAUAGGUGGGGGGAGACAGUGAGGAAAGGGGGGUUCGCUCGUAAAUUAAGAGGGAGCCUGUUGAGGGCGGCCAGCGCCCCUAGUCCAUCUGACAACUAAUGAGAAAGUGAGUGAUUACGUUAACUUGAACGAGAUUGCUAUUUCUCCUGUUUGCAUAACAAAUACGAGACGGUGCACGCGCACGUCUCCUCCCAGAGGACAAAGAGACACGGACAGAACUCCCAGGUCGUCUGAGGAAAAGCUUCGUGGAGCGCUGCCCCCAAAUUCUUCACUAAUUUACGUCAGGACGCCACAAAUGCGGCCAGAGACAGAUAGAAAGAGGGAGUGAGAGAAGAAAGGGGGGCUAACUCGUAAAUAAUGAGGAGAUAUUGGGAGUAAUCUAUUGGUCCUUUCUUUAACACCCUUUAAAUCAUUUCCUGGAGGAGAUAAGUUAGCAACACGAGAGACUUAGAGGUUCAACAGAAAGACAGUUAAAAGACAAUAACAUUUUUGAUUUGAACAAUUGCAGGCUAACAGGAGCAUGAGAGAGGAGAGCUGAGAAGCGGGAUCCACUUUGAUCGAGGAGAUUGGAAAUUCACAGCACAUAUUCUAAGUCGCAUUUUUGAGCAAGCAUGACACAGGUAAUAACGCGUGAGAGAUCAAGACAUAGAUCAGGGCUAGUUGUGGGACGCAGACCUCGGAGUUAAUUUUGAAUAAUGAUACUGAAGACACAAUGUACUGUCCCAUUAAAUUGGAACUAUAGACAAAACGUAGCUCGACAAUAGGAUGAGUUGCAGGACUUACAAUAUAAAGACGACAUUGCUGUUACUAGGAGAAUUCGACUUUUGGUAAACAAACGUUACUAGUGAAUGGAGGGCAGCAGCUACAUUUGGAGAUAGCCUUACAAGUUUGGUGUCCCAGUCUGUCUCUCUCAGUGCCAGGAUCCCUGAAAACUCGACCCCGAGACUCCGCCUGCAGCCGCGGACGACUACAAGACGGUGCCUGGCUUUGAGGCACCUUUGACCUUUGGCAAGGACAAAGUAAGACUGUUGUUGUGCUUGGAGGGGGCAAGUACACUCCGGAGGAUAGACAACAUCCUCGGAGACGAGAAAAGACAGUGAGAAGUGGAGGAACUCACAAUGUUGAAGAAAAAAUGGACAUUUGAACAAUGGACUCAUUCGAGAGUGAUGGAUGUGUUGGCUCUGAAGCAACAACAAAAGGACACCAUCUUGAGAGGGUGAGGUGCGGCAGAAGAUAUGGACUUGAAAUGUCCGAUGGCCAAAUCGCACUCCUGGCGGUGCUAAGACCUCGUGGGGCUUGGGUUAGAGUGGACAGGAGCUUCAUUGUGCACUGGGUUUGACAGAACUGAGGAGAUUUGAUAAAAAAUUGAAUAAUGCGUAGAGCUACAGAGAGAAGCAUCAUGGUCAGAGAUUGAACAGAUUUGAAUAAAACAAAUGGGCUGAAACGGUGAGAAACAAGAGCGAGAUCUGAUGUUUUGGCUCACCAGACAUAAGACGUAGAAAUCGAGUUAGAUAAAUUUUAGAAUAAGACAUCUAGACUAAAGUGGAUUCAGCCGAGAGGAAGCUAGGACGCUCGAUGUACCUACUCAAUACGAUAGAAGUUUGUUGCACCAUAGUGGAGGUUGGGUAGUCAGAAAGUUGGAUCCGUUAAAUUUUUGACUUUCACACAUUCAUGCAUAGGAGUCGCACAAGGCCACAGGUAACAAGAUAAUGACUGAGAUAGGGCUCAAAUUCAACUGCACCCACACGGCAAUGUAGAAGCAGGAGAGCGAAGUAAGGGAUUAUGUGCUAAACAGUCCGCUGUAGGGUUACCAAUAGGAGAUUCUGUCAAAAGAACUACUAAGAGGUGGAGGCGAAGAUAAUAGGAGGACAUAGAUAUUCGAAGGUUUAAUAAGGGCAAACUCCAUUGUCAAAGAUCGGAUUAGAGCAAGUAGGAACGGGAGUAUUUUGGCAUUUUAACAGGAAGUGGCAGCAAGGGAGAUUGAGGAUAGAAGAUCUGGACAGCAAUGACGUGAAUUACAUUAAAAACUGCUCAUUCGAGGGAGAGGGCUCGGCGCUCCCUGUGUGGAGCUGCAGCUUUGCAGAAGGGGGGCAGGCCGCGCGAGUGAGGAGUGGUGAUAGGCGACCACAAGGAAGUAGGGAGAGGUGUUGGAUGGUGUGACAGGCAGGAGUUUUAGGAAGAGGAAGAAAAGAAAAAGGGGGGGAGUGAGACUCGCCAAGAGGGGCAAUAAAGAGAAGCAGACUGAGAAACAGUUUUGAGCAAGACAACGGGGAAAAAGGGGGAGAGCCAAACGAUGACGUAAAAAGCCAGAGAGAAUAGUCUGACCCAUCUUUAUUGAAUUUAAUUAACAUAAGUAAUAGAGAUCGAGUUUGUAGGACCAAUACGAGGGUAUGGAGGCUCCCUCAAAACGCGGGUCCCACAGUUAGUCCCUCAGAUAGACAUAUAUGACAAUUUGCGAUGAAUCUGAUGGGCGAGUUUAUGGAAAAUUGAAUUGGAGAUUUUAUAAUAGGUCAUGUUGACGAGUAUGUCCGAAUGUGAAGAGUCACUAUUAGGAGUCAAUAUUUGCCUACACACUAACAUACUAACUUUGCUUGGUUUGGGGGGAGAGCUGAGUGAUAGAGACGGAUGAGUGUGUCUGUGAGUGUGUGGAUGGGUGAGUGCGCAUGGGAUCAUCUACGGCUGUGUGUGCGCAGUAUGAUUGGCCAGAGAGGUCUGAAGUUGGGAUGAUGUGUUUGCCGUUGAGGAUAAAAUUCCUCUCACCUGAAGGGGUGGUACAGAUCGGAGGGACUGGAACUGGUAAGUGAUGAGUUCUGAUCGGAACCAUGGUUCAAUGAUCAAUCAGGGGCACCAUCGACAACCAAACGGUUCGAUGGAGAAGGCCCGUUUCAGUGAUAUGGUCAGACAAGACAGAACUAGUAUUGAACAUCAAGACUUUGGACAAUUUGACGUGUGACGACCUUGAGCUCACCCAACGGGGUGACGGACUAGGUGGACAGUGACCAAAUGUUUGACGCUUGAGCUUGCUUGCGACAUGAGCGAGCUCUGCUUUGGUUUUCUGUGUGACUUGAUUUUUUGCAGCAGCAGCAACGGCCGCCAGCCAAGGAGCGGAUUGCGCGCUGCUUGCGUAACUUGUUUUCGUUCUUGCAGGUUGUCGAUUGCGUUCGUGGAACGUUUGUGUUGAAUUUACAAGAAUAUUUUAACCCUUGCCCUUUUGGUUUUUAUAAUGAACUUGUUGAUUACAUGGUUUUCAGGACAGGAUCCCCGAGCGCCAGGAUUCAUUUUAUGACUGUUUUUGUUUUGAUACUUGAUGUCUGUUUUUGUGUGUACAAGUGUCCGCUGUCAGCAGGGCUACAAGCUCACUGACAGGAGUGCGCUGAUUUUUGUUUGUGUUGCCGAGUGUGUGGUGGACAGUCAAGUUUCAGAGACUUGGGGUGACGGUCCCGGGGCCCAGAUGGAAGCUAGAGGUUCCGUGGGCCUGGCUACAAUGAGUGUGGUGAUGAGAGGGGACGCUUUGCAGGUUCCUUUUGAUACGUAAUGACACAUUGGGUGAAUGUGUCAAAAGGGGGGAGUGGUAAAACAGAAAGGGGCUUUAACAGGACACACCAGAAUUCAACUAGCAGUGACGGAAGGAGCGGAAGAAGCAUCUCGAAAGAAAGGGAGUUAACGGGGGACAACAGCCUGGAAUGGAUGCGAAGCGUGGUAACAAUUUAGUGACAAUAAGGUUUAAGGUUUUUCAAUGACAAAGUACGAAGGACAAAUCAUACAGUGAUUUGGGAAUGGACAGUGGCACAGUACACGACAAAAGUUUGGAAGGUCAUUGAAUGUCAGAGGACGACGGGGCCAGAGACAAGGAAGGGGGAAAUUUCUGAACGCGUGACUGCAUUAAAGCUGCUAUUACAGGGCAAAGGUUUAAUUAUACAUUUUAGGACGAGUAGUUUGCAUAACGAAUACAGAAAGGAUUUGAGUGGCUGUACCGUUUUGAAAAGAUUACGUGAGCGUUGUUUCAGAAUGAUGACUGGUUUGAACAGUGAGGUGGCUCAAACAUAAGGCACAGAUACAUAAAGGUACAGACCUAGGAAACUACAGUAUUGUGAGGGGUACCGGUUUGAGAAUGCUACACAUCUUUAGACUGAAGAAGGAAUUUGGGGGUGACAAAUAGUAUUUGGACGGGAAAAAGAGCGGCUGAAGUGACAUGACUGACGGGACUUCAGAAAGAUGACGGUGUGAUUGAGACAGGGACAUCUGCGACAGGAAAGGCUACCAGGAACAGGUAGAAUUUACAUUGUGACUGGGGGGAGCUAGCAACGCUGUCGGCACGACGAGAAAUGAGGGGAAUGAGUCCUGGAGUGUUUGCUUGUUUGUUUGCUUGUUUGUUUGUUUGUUUGUUUGUUUGUUUCAGGGACCGCGUGGGCCUCUGGAAACGAGGGGUAGGUGUCGGGAGCCCUCGGGCGUUCUGAUGAGAUUUCGAUGAGACGAUUGACACAGCUUUUUCCUCGUUGCCCCAUCACCGCCAAAUAAUUAUUUGAGGGGGCUGGAAACACUGGAGCUAUCGGGUUGUGUUGCCCUGCCAGCGGUGGCCGUCGGGGCCGGAAGGACGUCCGGCCUGGGCUGCGGCUUUUGCCAUUAUGACUUCACAUGUUUGCACUGUUAACGUCACUUGAUACAGACAGUAGCUUUAGCUUGUCAUAGGUCGCCUGGGUGCUGACCGGGGCCUUGCACGGGAUUCAACGGCCAUCAUAAGCAACAGGAGGACACUGAACGGACAGCCGGCCCGGGACGGUGCCGUCUACUACUAGUGCUAUUUUCCACUGACGGAUCAAUGGACUGGAUUUCAUAUCUGCACGUACUUGUGCAUGCAAGGGGGGCAGCGCAACGACGGGUUUAAUGUUCUUGCAUGCUUUGACGAUUUGUUUUUAUAUACCUCACUGUGUUACAUCUGUGUUUUUUGCCAUGAUGUUUACUUUAUUAUGUGACCUCAUUUGCUUGCCCCGUGGCAUGUUUACGAUACGACGUUGCAUGUUGAGCGAUCUGUAUUUGAGGGUCAUGGUUCUGCUUGUUGCUGUGUUUAGGGCUCAUGCUACGCUUUGUGAAAUGUGGUGUGUGCCGGAGCUCCCUUCACCUGACUCUCGCCAGGCGAGAGGCGCCUCCGGGGGUGUAGAAUGGGCCUCCCUCUUUUUCCUCGUCAUUAGAUUGGCGAGGUUUUUUCGACGGCGGUCCGGCAGCUUUUUGGGGCUUCUAACGGGCCACAGCAAACUUUUCCUCUCCAAAUUGAUGGCGUUGGUGAUAUAUUACCGAAGGGGGGUGUGCGGACGGCGUCAAUCAGUUGAUGGGGUUGGGGGAUUCGAUCUUGGUCAAAUGUGGUUCCUGAGAGGCCUCAGAUUGCUGUCAGGGAGGAAUUUGCUAUUAAAUUAGGUUGAGCUUUCCUAGUUAAUGUAACCUUAAGUAGCAUGCCUUGAGCAUGAUUUAGGAUGAGACAAAUAGGUCCAAAUUGUAGACGAAAACCAUGAAAUGGUUGGGGGAAGGUUUUUGAUGUACCGGUGUCUUUUUCGUGUUGAGUUGUUGCCGGGGCACUUGAUGUGCCCCGGCAGGGGGGAAUGUUGUGAAUUUUUAUUCUGGUAUCAUGCAAUGUAUAUCUCACUAGUAAGCCUAAGUAUGACCAGGUCAUGUUCGGGUCAGGUUCGUGUGGUAUUGUUUAGGGCUUGGUCCAGGAAGGUAGACUCAUUGGCGCCAGACACAUCUGGCUUCCAUUAACAACUGCUAAGAUGCACAUGAUGUAGAGAUGAGGAGGCAACUGCGGGGUCAUAGGUCAGCCAACAGCCCUAUCUGCGCGCUCCCGCGUGGAGGGAAGCGCAAGAGUAUAAGGUUUAGGACGAGAGUAGACAAAGGAACUCGACAUCUUGGCUAGGGCGCGAGACACUUCUCUCUGACAUCGGUUGAAUAAAAUCUUUCCCCAAUCA